rnacentral:rRNA from 1 species
AGAUUGAACGCUGGCGGCAUGCUUUACACAUGCAAGUCGAGCGGCAGCGCGGGGGCAACCCUGGCGGCGAGCGGCGAACGGGUGAGUAAUGCAUCGGAACGUGUCCCGUGGUGGGGGAUAACCCGGCGAAAGCCGGGCUAAUACCGCAUAUGCUCUGAGGAGGAAAGGGGGGGAUCCGCAAGGACCUCACGCCAUGGGAGCGGCCGAUGUCCGAUUAGCUUGUUGGUGGGGUAAUGGCUUACCAAGGCGACGAUCGGUAGCUGGUCUGAGAGGAUGAUCAGCCACACUGGGACUGAGACACGGCCCAGACUCCGUACGGGAGGCAGCAGGUGGGAAUUUGGACAAGUGGGGCAACCGUGAUCCAGCCAUGCCGCGUGCGGGAAGAACGGCCGUUCGGUUGUAACCGUCGUUUACGGACCGGUAAGAAACGGACGUAGGGACCAACGUACCCGUCGGUUU